rnacentral:lncRNA from 1 species
AAUCCUAGGGAAUCAUUCUGUCUUCUGUGUGGAUCACGCUAGUCGAGAAAACAGACAGAUACAUACGAUACCAAAGAUAAAUGGGUGCUAAACCAGGGAAGGAGCUGAACUUCGAUGUGAAAGUUAAUGGUUCACACAAACAGGGAGGAACGCACAUCGACAACCAAGGCAAUAUUGGUAACAUUACCACUGGUGACAACAACUCCGGCAAUAAUACUGCCUCAGUCGGGGGGCAGCCUGGGAAGAGUCCAAAGCAAUAGACAGUUUUUGUAGAUUCUGGCUCCAACUUGGUGUUAAGGUCAAGCACAGUCACGCCCUCAAAGACGAUAAUGGCAUCAAGUGCAAGGACUUACCCCUUAGCAACGGACGACAAAGAGGAAGAC